CCUACGGGUGGCAGCAGUAGGGAAUCUUCCACAAUGGGCGAAAGCCUGAUGGAGCAACGCCGCGUGGGUGAAGAAGGUCUUCGGAUCGUAAAACCCUGUUGUCAGAGAAGAAAGUGCGUGAGAGUAACUGUUCACGUUUCGACGGUACCUAACCAGAAAGCCACGGCUAACUACGUGCCAGCAGCCGCGGUAAUACGUAGGUGGCAAGCGUUAUCCGGAUUUAUUGGGCGUAAAGGGAACGCAGGCGGUCUUUUAAGUCUGAUGUGAAAGCCUUCGGCUUAACCGGGGUAGUGCAUUGGAAACUGGGAGGCUUGAGUGCAGAAGAGGGGAGUGGAACUCCAUGUGUAGCGGUGAAAUGCGUAGAGAUAUGGAAGAACACCAGUGGCGAAAGCGGCUCCCUGGUCUGUAACUGACGCUGAGGUGCGAAAGCGUGGGUAGCAAACAGGAUUAGAUACCCCAGUAGUC
rnacentral:rRNA from 1 species